rnacentral:rRNA from 1 species
GACGAACGCUGGCGGCGUGCUUAACACAUGCAAGUCGAACGGUGAAGCGCCUUCCUUUUUGGUGGGUGUGGAUGAGUGGCGAACGGGUGAGUAACACGUGAGUAACCUGCCCCCUUCUUCUGGAUAACCGCAUGAAAGUGUGGCUAAUACGGGAUAUUCUGGGUCUGUCGCAUGAUGGGUCUGGGAAAGAUAUUGUUUCGGUGGGGGAUGGGCUCGCGGCCUAUCAGCUUGUUGGUGGGGUGAUGGCCUACCAAGGCGGUGACGGGUAGCCGGCCUGGGAGGGUGGACGGUCACACUGGGAGUGAGGCACGGUCGAGACUCCUACGGGAGGCAGCAGUGGAGAAUAUUGCACAAUGGGCGCAAGCCUGAUGCAGCGACGCCGCGUGAGGGAUGGAGGCCUUCGGGUUGUGAACCUCUUUCGCCAGUGAAGCAGGCCUGCCUCGUUUGUGGGUGGGUUGACGGUAGCUGGAUAAGAAGCGCCGGCUAACUACGUG